AGCGCCGUGAGGCGGCGGCGGGAGGGGCAGCAGCCGCGGCCCGGCGCUGCGUGCGUCCCCGCGUGCCGGGGUUUGUGUCAGCGCUUGGCGCGACAAAGGGCAGCCCUGAGGUUUUUAUCUCACAGAAAGGUGUAGGCUGACUCAGUUGAAUCGUUUUACAUAGGAAAUUGAGUCAUCAAUCUUUACUAAAGCUAGAUGUUACUAUUCCUGGGAAGCAACUAGCAGCCUGUUUUCUAAUGCCACGACCUUAAUGAUAGUCGAAGCCCAGUGACCUUCACCCACCCUGAGCACAAUGAGGGUUUGCAACAGUACAGAUUGUAACACAACACGAAACCCCACAGCUUGUUCUGGCUCUUUUUGCUUGAUCCUUUUUAAAAACAAACAAACAAACAAAAAAGCAUUUUACCCUUUCAAGCACUGAAGUUUGCUCUUACACUGACUGAAAAUUUACAGAAGGGGCCUCUGCUUGCUCCAAACCAAACAGGACCUGGUUGCCUUAGCAGGCCUUGGGAGAUGUCGAAUCUCAGAUCUAACUUAGUGACCUACACAUGCUUCCAGGACUGGAAACAUAUCCUGGUGGCCAACAGUGAUAGCAGCGAUUCCUUUAUUCUGGGUAACCUUUCUGGUACUCUCCAUUAGCUUGACUUACUGUUUUUUCCCAUCUCAGUUCCUAAUCCUGAAUGUACCUGUGGUUUUUAUCCCAGCCAAUCCAAACCUUCCUAAUACACUUAUCAGUGCUAACAGAACUCUGUUGCAGAAGUGAAGUUCCUUUUGGGCAUCACAGUCAAUUUAUCUUGGCUAUAGUGAUUUAUAGUUUAAUGGCCAAAGUGUACCAGAUAAAAGCUUUCGGAAUUAUGACUGGGUUUUAUUCUUGGCUUUCUAGCUUAUUGCUGUGUGGAUGCACAGUGAAGCGGUAUAGUCCCAAACUUUGAGAAGAACAGAGACAAGAUAUCUAUAGAGAUUGAUACUAAACCAUUUUCAGCUCUAACUGUAGCCUGUUUUCUAGCCUGUAUCAGUAACUGGGUUCACAUGCUGAACUGCAAAAAAAGUAUAGGAAAUUGAUGUGCAAAGAGUUUACUGUUUAAUUUAAAGCAAUACAGUAAUAUAAGCUGUAAAAAGUAGUUAGAAAAUUCUCUCUUCUUCCCACACAGAUGCAGUUAACUUCCUAUAAAAGAGGGAGGCUUUAAAAAAAAGUCAAGAAGGACUAAUCUAAGAAACAAGUGUGACUUAAAAACAUAUUUAAUAUUAAGAACACGUGAAGAGAGGGAUAGAAUUAACAGAAUGUCUAAUAAGUAUGGACCUUAGAGUAGGAGCUUUGUCUAGGGACUAUACAGUGGUAAGACUAACAGGAAGGUAAAACUGAAAGAAGCCACCUUAACAGUGGGGAUUCCUUAAAGUCAUGGGAAACCAUGCAGCAAAUGCCAAAGUCAGGGAAUGCCUAUACUUCCUACACAGUGUCUGUGGCAGCCUACAAAGGCCUAGUAACUUCCUAGUACUCUAUAACAAACUAGAUAUGUUGUUGAAGACCUAAAGCCCACCAAAAGCUGAGAAGAGAGGAGGAGAGCACCACUAACAUCCUAGACCUUUGCACAAACCAAAUAUUUGAAUCUACUAGAUGAUGCUAAGAAGUAGAGCCACCUCUUCUACAUGUCAUAAGGCCCAACUACAGCUAAUGAGAAAUGGAAAAAUCCUAAGCCAAUACAAAAAGAGUAAACUGUGUUCUCAGAGGAAGUGUAAAGCGCAUUCAACAAAUGUCCUUUCUGUUCAAUAAUUAAUUUCAACAAGUGAAAGUUAGCCUGGAGUUUUAAAAUUAUUAUUAUGAAUGUGGCUGGAAGUCAAAACAUUCUGGUUCACGUCAGGUAAUUUUGAGUAACCAGCUGUAGAAGCAAGCUUUUUAUUUUUGUGAAAAAUAAUUUUUUUCUGCAUGAACUGUGAUAAAAGAUUAUUUCUGCUAUUUGCUUUUUACUGCUUGUGACUCCUACGAUAAAUUAUUCUGUAGUCUCCUUUACACCCUCCAGCCUUGAUAUCAAUGGGAAGUUGUACAAAACUGUAUUGGUCAAUAUGUAAUGUAGGCAGAGCUGAGCAAGGUUCUGGGCACGCUGGGAAUGAAAGAAAGGGUCUAACUGACCUCAUCAGAACAUGAAAUCAGAAUGGCUUGGGUUGGAAGGGACCCCGAGGAUAACCACAUUCAAGCCCUGCUGUCACAGGCAGGGCCACCAACCUCCAGAUCUGGUACCAGACCAGGCUGCCCAUGGUCCCCUCCAACCUGGUCUUCAACAUGUCCAGGGACAGAGCAUCCACAACCUCUCUUGGCAGCCUAUUCCAGCACCUCACCAUCUCUCUGUGAAAAACUUCCCCCUGACAUCCAAACUAAACCUUCCCUGUUUGAGCUUGACACUAUUCUCCAUUGUCCUAUCACUAUCUACCCAAGUGGUAUGAAAUGAGUAAUAUGGAAUGAAGACAUCUGUUGUCAGUAACUUUCUACAAAGCUUUUUGGGUAUAAUUACCGCUCUAUUAGUCCUGUUUUCAUCAAUUAAGAAGCCUGUAGGAUGUUCUAGUGCCAUCUGCAAAAUGUAGGAGGUAGCUGCUAUUGCAAGUUCUUUUCUGCAAAGGCCCAAAUCUGCUAAGCUGCUUCGUACUAGGCUGAAAGAAAGGGAGAAGUCUGCAGGAGGCAAUUAAAGAAACAUAGAUGGAAAGAGGCCUUCAUUCUAGCUGCAGAUCACAGCACCUGUUCUGAGGCUUUUCACAGAUUCUCCUCUGGAUAGGACUCUUGUGGAGGGAGAAGUGAGAGGCCCUGUUGCUCAUUAAUGGAAACACUGCUGCCUGUGCUCCAUGUGAGAACACCCUAAUAUCAUCCUUCAGGCAGAAGCAGACUGGGGCCUUUUUUACCUGGCUGUACUGUUCCCUCGAUGGUGUGAUUCCCUCUGGCAGAGAGGUGAUGCAAGAUCAAUAGGAAGGAGUCCAUCUGUGGCCUCAAAGUCUCUUGGUUAAAAUGAGAGCAGCUCCCUCUUGAGAAACCAAUGUGCUGCAGGCUGAAGAGCCCAGAAUUAUUGAAUUUCUAUUCCCCCUGAAGGCAAUUAGAAACUAUGAUCAAGGCACACUUUAGCCUUUUUAUGGAGGCUUUUGAAGAAAGAGCUUGAAUAAGGUCAAAAUAGAAACACCUUUAUCUCUGCAUGCUCCAUGUCGAUGACAACAUGCCUUCGCCGAAGAGAGUAGCUUCUCCAUGACCUUUUGGACUCUUCUAAUGCCUGAUCUGAUAAAAAAGAUCUGGCAGCCAGGGGUGAAAUGAACUUGAGCUGAGGUCAAAAAGUGAAUCUCAUCACUCUUGAAUACUCAAGCAGCAAAGGUAUAUACCUUGGCAUUAGUCCCUUUCUCUGGAGGAACCGAAAUCUUGCAUGCAAACAUCUAAUGCGUAGAAAAUUUGGAUACAGUCAAAAUGGAGCUGCUCAUUAAUUCUGAAAUGUUCUCAUGUUCUACUGCAGAUUAUCUUUCCAUCACAGCACAAGUCUACCAUGUGUAGUACUUCAGUGCUGAGAUGCACUGAUCUCAUCAAUGUUCUCCUACAGAAGUUAAUAAGCCUGUGAGGAAAGUUUAUUUACAUUUUAACUAAUCCAUGUCUAGCCACUGUUGAUACAGUAAAGAAGAAAGUGCCUCAAAUAUCUUCAAGAAAAACAGUAGUUGUUUUGUGAAAUGGAAAGCGCUAAUGAUGUUGAUAGCUGCAACACGGUUAUUUUGAGCAUUACAGUGUACGUUAUUUAUGUUUCUAUUCAGCUUCUGCAAAUUGCAAGUGCUAUGAUGGUGUUGGAGUUUUCAGUUUUAUUUACUUUUGAAGAAUUUGGGUGCUUUACAUUCUAUUAAACCUGAGCUAGUCACUUUUUUAUAAAACAGUGUGUGCUAUUUUAAUGUAACAGGGAUUUAUGUGUAACAAAUAUCUUUUCUAAUGCCUUAAAAGCUAGCAAGGAUAGAAAUAAAUGUAUUUUAUGAACAUUCCUUUCAUUUUAAAGUGUUGCUCAACCAAGACAAUUUAUAACAUAAAUGAGGAUUUGAUCUUGUGUGCCAGCAGCUGUCAAAAAGUAGGAAGUUCUUACCUCAAUUACCGUGUUAUAAAAGGGCAUUGCUCACCCAAGCACUCAUCUUUUUUGAAAAUCUCCAGGUGCUCUUCUGGUCACGAACAAAUCUACAGAUCUACCACUGAAGUUGGGCAACCAAUUCAAGACCACUGUUUCUACACAGCAGCCUUUUGGGGAGUUAGAUUUCUAUGGCCUAUGAGCUGCAGAGAUGAACAGAGCAAAGCCCUGUUGUACUGCAUCAGCUACUUUGUUCUACAAGACAGCACUCACACUUAGACCACCUUGUUGUAGCUGUGUUUGCAGAUGACACAAGCAAGCACUCUGAGCAGACUUCCCCUCCUUUCUCAGUCCUGUGAGCAGGAUGGCAGGGGAGAAGAAAAUGCAGAUGAAGCUAUUAAUGUAUGUCUAUAAUUAGGAGUUUUGGAAAUGCAGCUGAUGUGCUGCGAUUUGCCACAUGACGGAACACACUCUGUAUCUGUAUUUCCUGUUACCAGCUUAGUUCUGACUAUGCCAUCUCCUACGACAACAUAUUUUUAGCUCAUUUUGUAAUCUGAAGAUCGUUCUGGAUUAAACAUUAAAAGUCAAUGUAAGAAAGACCUACAGUAGGAAUAUUUUUAUAGUAAUUUUCCAUCAUAAAAAGGUCUCGGUAAUAGUGAUGCCUGAUCUACCUCAGAAAUCCCUGUGAACAUAAAAUAAUUAACAAAUUAAUUAAAACUGAUAAUCUCCCUUUGAAUGGAGUUGCAAUCAAGCAAAGGGAGACAUGGAAAACAUUCCAUAAAAUCUAUCAAAGCAAUGUUCAGUUUGAGAUUCAUACCCCUCAGCGUAGGAGGUGCCACAGCUCCCAGUCAGCAGCCAGCAGCUGGUAGUCAGCCAGUCCAUGAAGAAGCCACUGGUGUCCUCUCAUGGGCAUUUAGCAUCCCUAGCAAGGCAUGAAUGUGCCUGACUGUCCACCAGCAGCUGCUCUUGGCAUCAUAAGUCUUGUGUGGGUCAGGCCUUAGGCUUGCUGGGCUUUGACAUGUCUCAGCCCCUUGCAAUGGGCAUCUCUCAUAGUUUUAUAAUUUUGUUAUCGGUAUUCCACAUCAUAACAUCAUGUACAGCAGGGGUAAUCGAAGAGUUGAUACUCCAGUUCCGUGGACUAAUAACUUUCUGGAUACCUGGUUCUCAGAAGAGAAGAAGCGCUAUGUAUCCCAGGGUACUUCAUGUUCAGAGAGGAAGAUAAGCCACGGGAGAAGUCACAGGAUCUGGCUCUCUGGCUCUCUCUCUCGCUCACUGCCUGGCAGCGUGUGGGUGUGCUCCCCAGCCAUGCACCUUCAGUUCCAAGUAGGCCUUUCGGUUUCAGACACUCUCUCUCUUAUUUUAUUUGAUUUAUUAGCCUCCAUUUCAAUUAGAUUGCAUUAUACUGUGUUAUCUUGCAUUCUGAUAUCAUAUUUAUUAAUAUUAAGAUUUCCUCCUUAGAUCGUUGCCACUGUUCUGUUUUUGGGCCCAGCUCCCAUCUCCCCACCUUUUCCCUUCCCAUUUUUGGGGCUAGGGGCCUACAGGCCUGCUGCCCCCUGUCACAGGCACAGAUUGAUCUAGAUAACUCCGUGACAGCAUCUCAAAGAAACACAGAGGUAUCUUUUUCUUGAUAGCAGUCAGGCCCCAGGGCUGAAUCACCCUCUGGCUGCUGCUACUUCCUUCAGGGGAAUACAGGCUGUUUAGACAACUGGAAGUUUACAUUUACUUGUGUAUGCCAUAAUUGGAGGCAAAUCAUGCCUCUGGGCUCCCACAGUGUGAUCGAAAUAAAUAAGAAGUAACCUCAGUGAAGUCAGUUUCAAAAUAGUCUACAUUUUCUCCUCUACUUAGAUCUCUCUACUUAAAUUUAAGCCCAAAUUUGAGGAAUCUGCCAGUCAUCGUUAAGUUAUUAUUCAUUAUCAUAAUGAUUCUGCUGGAAAAUAUGCCUGGGAGAGACAAGACUGUCCCCCAUUUCUCCAAAAUACUGCCUUGUAUUGUAACUAUGGCUGGAGAACCACAUACAUCUCUGUGCUGGGAGCAGUGAGUGUAUGUGCAUUGCAAUGGCUGGAUCAUGAUCCCACUGAAGUCAGCAGGAGUUAAUCUAGGGAUUUAAACUAAACUGAAUGGAAGAGCAUGAAUUAAGACCUACCUUAUCGCCCUAAAAUGACUGACAGCAAUGAUGCAGUGUAUUUCUCCGAAGUCUGAGAAGCGGUGAGCAUCCAGAAAUCUAUUGUGUUUAACAAAAUGCAACGUUUUCUACAUGUUCCUGAAAAUCUGAGGUUAGAGGUGAACUAGUAGUGAGUACCAGGAGAUCACACACAUUCCGUAUGUACUUUUUGAAACUCCUCUUGUACACUUUUCUAUAACUCCUCUAACUGCAGCUCUAAUCAAAUGAGAAUAUUUUGCCAAGGCUUCUGAAAUUAGCAUAUAUACAUAGAAAAAAUGGAAAAGACUGUUUGUCAUGGAUAGAUAGCAAAGAAAUGAGGAGGUUGCACAACGGAAAUAGACGUGUAUUUCUGUGUGCUAUCUUUUCAUGACCCUUCUUUCUCUUUCUCCACUUUCUUCUCUCCUCCCCUCACUGUUAAGGAAAGCAAUUUGAACAAGCAAUAGCAGGGAUUUGCAGCCUGUCAUGGCUAAUGAAGGAACUUGGAGUAAGUUUGUCCAGUUUUUUCCAACUACAUCAGGUGGCUGUGAAAGAAAUGUAAUGUCUCUACCUGCAAAACCUGCUUAAAUGGUGAGAAGUGAUUAAAAAAACCAAGCAACUUAGUGUACUGUAUGAAUAAAAAAUGCACUGUGGUAAGACUGGAACUCAAUUAUAUUUGUGUUUACUAUGCUCUGCCUUUCAUCAAAGCUACUGUGGCAUUUCGGGUAUGCCACCCCACCUCAUAAAAGUCCUUGCAGUGUCUCCACUGUCUGCCGCCUUGCAUCCUUUUCUUCCAGAGACAAAAUUACCUGAGCAAAGCAAUGGAAGCUCUGGGAAGCUUCAAGAGUGGCACAGAAUCGGAAAAAGACAUAACGAUUUGCUGAUUUUCUUAUUUGCAACUUUUCACCUGAACAAGUCUGGUAGUGCACUGAGCAGAAUUACACUUCACUCUGGGGUGAUGAUUUCUUUCUUUGUUGGAAGGGCUAUGAGAGCAUACCUGCACACCUAAGGUCUCCAUGUGAGUCAGCGUCAAUCAGUUUCAAAAAGCAUUACAUAAAUUUUGAUGGUGUAACGAAAAAGACAAAUAGUCUGUAUUUAAAGCAGUAAGUUUUGGGGCUCAGGAAACUAAAAUAGUAAUGUAUGGCUUAUUUUAACUGCAUUAUGGCAGAAGUUAGCUAUGAAAUAAAUGCUUGCUCACCACCAUCGAAAUGAGCCUUCAGCACCCCUGUGCCCUGUGCUU